CAAUAGCAGCUCUGAUAGAACACAGCUUUCCAAGGGGCCCACUUUCAAAGGCACGGCACGCUUUUCAGAGAGUCAAGCUUUGGCGUGUUUAUUAAAAAAGACACCCAUGCUGCUUUCAGGAACGCUGAGCUCUUAGCUCUUCUUUUCUCUUUAACUCAAUUCCAAGAGGGGCUGGGACCGAGGUUUGGCGCUUACUUGCUCUCCUUCAGCCCCAUUUUAGAAAUGUUUCCACCUACCCGUCUCCUGUUAUCUGGGAGAUUGCUCUGUUUCACUCAGACAUGAAGCAGCAGGCUUGGUGGCAGCCCUGUGAUCUUUGAAAGCAUACCCUCUGGGAGUAGCAGUUUCUUCUUCUGUAGAAUGGGGAAAGUAAUACAUAUUCUGCAAGGCUGUGAGAAUGAAUUGGAGCGAUGUCUGCAAGAGGCCUGGCAUGCUAAAGGCCUUCAGUAAAUGGUAGGGAUUUUUGUUAUUAAUACUAUUACCAAUAUUAAGCAAUUAGCCAAUAUAUAUUGACCUCUUUGAGAAUCUGCUUUUGUUCCCUGGUCCCUCCUCUUGUUCGUCCAGGCCUUCUCCUACUGCAACCCUUUCCUUCUGGAAUGUCUGUGGACAACACAACAUCAAACUCCCCAUUCCUGGCUCCAGGGCAAGAAUCUCUGAGUCCUUUGGGAAGUGCAGUGCUAGGAUCAUUUUCCUGUUGUCAGCGGCUCUGGAAGAGGCAUUAGCCCCACAAGGCUUGAUGUGGGAAGUUUUUACAGGUACUGCUCAUCUGGUGGGCAGAUGUAGCUUUGCAGCAAGAUAGAGCUCUGUCUUCCAGAUCGGGGGUGCCUGGGAGUCUUGAGGUAGAACUGGUUCCUCUCUGCUUGGAGCCAGUGUGGGCACACACAUGGGCCUGUCAUCUCCUUCAACAGCCCUGGGAUCGUUGAUCCAAGUUAGAUGGAGUGCCUUUAACCCCUGAAAUUCACAUCCUGGCAAUCAGCUGACCAUGCCUCCAUCAUCUCUGUUCCCCGCAGCCCCGACCUCUGCCAUCCCCCAACACAUAGACACACACAGUGUUAUUUCCAGGGAAGAGGAGGAUAGUCCUGGUCAAUAGCAGUGGACACACUGGAGGUUUCCCCUCAAGGGGGACCUUUAUGCGAAGAUGCUCCCAACCUCAUCACAUCUGGGACCUUUUUGCGAAGAUGCUCCCAACCUCAUCACAUCUGGGACCUUUUUGCGAAGAUGCUCCCAACCUCAUCACAUCUGGCCAAAGUGCUUUUAGUCACAAGCGGCAGAACUCAGUUCACAGGAACACAUAUGAAAAGUGGAUGUAGAGAUAACUAUGAGGGAUAUGAGACUUUAAUUAAGCAAAGUACCCGGCCUCGUCAUUCUCUCUCCUCCUGGGCUGUGGUCUCUUGGCUCAGCCUUUCUCUCUUCGUGACUUUGGUUUGCCUAUGGUUUUAUAACAUGGCCCUAACAAGUAAGUCCUCCUUGAUCAUGACAUUUACUUGAGCUCCCUAUGACCAAACAGAGUCUGCUUUUUAAUUUCAAACUCUUAAGAGAGAAAAACCGGAUGGCUGUUUAUUGCCAACACGUUGGCUGGCCUUGGGUACUUAUUCCUGGUCUAGUUAGCCGCGGCUGAGGAGCAGAGCAUGUGGUAUGAAACACAUAUAAGGUAGCAGGGGCUGAAAGUGGGAAACAACUUCUCUGAGAAGCAACCCAAGCUGGUAUUCCACCCAAGGUGUGCCUGAUGCACCCCCUGUGUGGUUCUGGGAUUCACCCGAGGGACAGGUAAUAGCCGUCCUCAGUGACUGUCUCGGCAGAGGCUGGGCUUGGAGCUCAAAGGCCAGGGAAGCAGCAGGUCCACUGAUGCAGCUGCCACCUCCACAGCAUGCUGGGGACAUGGUGACAUUCUCCUAAGAGCACUUACAGAGACAGUGUCCUGUGAAAGCAGCGCUGGACUGGGAGUUGGCAGUCCUGGCUUGUCAUCCAGCUCGGCUGCUAACCCCCAUGACCCCGGGGAACCGACCUUCUUCCUCUAGGUCUUAGAUUCUCCAGAAGUUAAAAAUGAAUUUAAAAACCAUUGUUAUUAAUAAUAAUAAACAGCAUUGAAUGAAAUCAUCUCCAGGGUUCUUUUCAAUCCCUAAGAUUUCCCUAAGCCUCCCCCAUCUCCACUUGACAACUUCCCAGAAAUGCUUUCAAAUGGAGCUCUUUAACCCAUAAUUUGGUGGGGCCUCUGCCAGCUGCCUCUCUCCCACAACACACCCAGUCCCUGUGAUAAGUCCUCCUCAGGGGCUUUCCAGCCUAGACCUGCAGCUAUUCAAGAAAGUCCAGGCAGGGCCUUCCCGGGCAACUGAUUUCUGAGCUUGUUCGACGGGGAGGAGGGGGUCUGAGCAUUUGCUGUCUGGCCACUCCAAAGAGGGAAGUCUGGGCCUGAAGACGCAUCUACUGGGGGGUUUCCACAUUGAUGAUCAGGGCCUGGGAGGCCAAGAGAAGCUCCAGAAGAAGGGUCAGCAAAAUCCCCAGAGAAACGGGGACUAUGAGUGGAACAGAGCUGGAGAGGAAGAACGGAAAACACUGUGGGUUCCCGGGACGGGGGCAGGGAGGAGGGAAAGUUUGUGUCUUUUGGCAGGAAAUGAAUAACAUUCAAAGAAUAUGCAAAAUGCCAUUCUAAUUGGCACCUGUUCCCUUUGGAGCCAGUCACUCGGCCCACGGCAUCUGAGGGUGAGUCUGGUUUGGGUCUCCCCAGGGGAGGAAUACAGCACAUUGAGAUCCACUUGAAUGAUAAGAGAGGCACUGGUCCUAAGUGGGGUAGAGGAACGGAAGGUACCCUCAGCCUCCAUGGCUCCUUCCCAGCCCCAAAUGCUCUGUCACAACCCCCCCAGCUCAACCCCAGGCAGAUGGCUACAAAUUUUGCAGGGGCCUCUGAGCAUUCCCUUGGCUAACAGCCACAUUCCAGAACAGCAUAUGUUUCAUCUCAAAUCCACAAGGUUUGCACUUCCAAGCGGAGCCAAAGAGAAAAACCUUGGCCCAGGCUGCAAAUUUCUUAGGAGAGGUGGGGGUCAGGGGCGGCCCCCAGGGAGGUUGUAGCUGUUAUGUUGAAGAACAUUUGAGUUCAAGUUCAUGCAAAGCUAGGUCCCAAAUAUAUGACACCCACAUUCCUAAUUCAUAACCCCUCAAAGUACCUACCUGGAGAAGGAGUGAGCAGCGCUGCUUCCUCUUGCUGUCACCCAAAUGGCCCUCAUGCCACCUGCAUGUUCCUCCAGCCCCAUAACAGUUCUGCACCUUUGCCUAACUUCAUGGCCCUUUUGAAUCAGUGAUUCACAGCCCAGGGCUGUGUGGAGUCUGGGUGGGGAGGGAAGAAACAGGGUGACUCCUGAUCUCACUCUACCC
rnacentral:lncRNA from 10 species